GCGAUCAUACCAACACAAAUGCACCAGAUCCUAUCAGUACUCUGAAGUUAUGCGUGCUUGUGCGAGAGCAGUACUAGGAUGUGUGACCCCUUCGGAAGUCCUCGUGUUGCAUCU
rnacentral:rRNA from 1 species